CCUUCGACUUAGAAGGUCCCAAACAGAGGAAAGAUUGAACAAUUCCCUUCUUUUCUUUCGAAAUUCCCCAUCCAAACAGCGCGUAUAUGACGGAUAGACCUCCCUCUGGGGGAAAAAAAAAAGGAAAAAAAAAAAAGAACAGUUCAGUACUAUCUAGAGUGCGGAAGCAGCACGACGUCGUGGAGCAAUUAGCAACAGCGAAACUGGAGCCGAAGUUGUAAGUUUUGUGGGCGGAGGAGAGCAUAGUGCAGGACGGACGACACCCAAAUUGGCCGCGAACCGAACAGAGAGAGGGAGAGGGACACAAUGAGAUUCAAUUUCAACUUCAUAGGGCUAGACGAUUCCGGUGACGGCCUUGAAUCCCUAUCUUCUCCGUCUACUUCAACCCCAAAAGAAGAUGUUGAAUGGCUUCCGCUCCAACACCACCCUAUUUUCACUUCCGCUGCCGAUGGCGCUCUUCCUCCCUCCUCCUCAGCCUCCUCUAAAACGCUCACGAAUCUCUUGGCAUGGGAUGGAGCCUCGCGCCUCUACUUUUGGGACUCACAAAAACAGUGUCUCCACCGGAUUUCUGUUCAGCUUGGCGAGCCUGAUCCUAGUUCUAUACUCGCCGCUUCUCCUUCUAAGGUAUUACAAGCAGAUGUGCAGCUUAAUUACGAGGUCCAGAAAAUUUCCAUCAAUAGGCAUGGAUCUGCGAUGCUCCUAUCAGGUUCAGAUCGACUGUGCGUAAUGUAUCUAUAUGGAAAGACUUCAGUCAAGGACAAUAUUGUUAUCUGCCGGACUGUAACAAUAGGGGCAGAAAUAUACUUUCACAGAAGGAGUAUAAUCCGCAUGUUGCAAGUUUAUUGGCACCCUUCCAGUGAUACACAUCUGGGAAUCCUUUCUUCUGAUUCAGUAUUUAGAAUUUUUAAUUUGUCUAUGUCUCUUCAGCAACCAGAACAGGAAUACUAUUUGCAGCCUGUGAAGUUUGGCAGUUCAACUAGAGCUUCGUCAAUCUGCCCUGUUGAUUUCUCCUUUGGUGGCAAUCAUUUAUGGGACAGAUUUAGUGUUUUCAUUUUAUUCAGCGAUGGAUCAGUUUAUGUUCUUUGCCCCAUUAUACCAUUUGGAAGUGUUUACAAGUGGGAGGCGUUGCAGGAAAUUUAUGUUGAUGCCAAAACAUUUGGGUUAAAUUCUACCAACUCAAAAGCUGUUAGUAAUAUCAAUAUGGCAAUCUCUUGGUUGGAAGCAAUAUUUCCUGAAUUAAGUCAGCAAUCUGCUGAAGGUGGGGAUUCGUUUGCUCUUAAAGCUCGGCCUUAUGCUUUUAUUGACUCGUCCAUAGUAUUGCAGGGGCCUCUACGUAAUUUUUGUCAUGGUGAAAAGAAAGAUACUCAAGUUCAGGAUGCGGAAGGUCAAGGGCGUGCAGUUAGUUUUCUUUAUAACUUAGUUAGCAAAGAUUCGGUUUUGGUAAUUGCUUGGAGUGGUGGACAACUACAAAUAGAUGCCUUCGCUGAUGAGAUCCAGCCAGUCUGGAAAGCUGGUAGUCCUCCUCGUCUUUUUGUUGAUUCAUGUGACCGCAUACUUGGUAUUGCUAUGAUUUGUGAGUCAGUUUCAAGUCAUCUCUCCUUUCCGGAGCCUGAUUCAACCCUUGAUCGUGAUGUUUGGAUGGGGCAUCCACCUCCUUUGUUGAGAUUGGCUAUUGUUGACUUAGCUUUACCAGGAAAAGGUGGUUCACAUAUUUCAAUGUCUGUUGAUCCUCUUAUGCCUGAAAGAACAUAUUGCUUUCAUAAUGGAGGCAUAGAUUCUGUUGUCUUGCACUUUCUGCCUUUUUCAAGUCAGUCAGAUGGCAAGGAUGGGGCAAGGAGAAGUCCAUCUGUAAAUCCUGUGAUCAGUGCCUGCCACGGAGAAUCUUCCUCAACACCUUCACUCUGUGGUUUCUUGGCUUUAGCAGAUUCAUUUGGAGAUUCAUGGAUUGUAGGAGUUACAUAUUCUCGAGAAUGUAUUGUGUUAGAGAUGGAGAAUUGGAAUUUGUUGCUUCCCCCAAUUGUUGAUGAGGAGAAAAACCCUGCUCUUGAGGAAGAAAAACAAUAUACCAAUAGUACAACUAUUAUUAGCAAGGAACUCCUUAGUGGCCCUAAAGUGGUUCUUCUGCCACCAUCAUCACCAAAUCUACGUUCUGUAACUGCAGACUCAAUUGAAGGGCGAUCUACUCUUCAUCAAUACUUCAAACUCUUUCAUGAAAAUUACAUGGAAUAUGCUUACAAGGUGUACUUUGAACUCCAGCACCAUGCACCUCAGCUGAAGAAGAUCAUUGACAACCAGCAUUCUCGUUUACAGAAAGCAGAACAAAAGCUUUUAGAAGUUGAAGAGAAGCAGGAAAAGUUAGAGAGUCGCAUUACCAAUGCAGUUCAGCAUUGCAAUGUCCUAGAAGAGCGCCUACUCAAAUUGAGAAACCUGCCUGGGAUACACAAAAAACCGCUUUCCAAAGCAGAGCGAGAUUUUAAAGCAGAACUAGACAGAUAUAAUGGCGUGGAAUUAGAUGCAUUGCGGUCAUCCAUUGAAGCUUUGGAUGCAAGGUUGAAAAGAUUUGAAAAUUCUCAACAGGCCAAUGUAUUGAACCAACAUACUCAAGUAUCAGGGAAGAGGAUGAAUUAUAUGCCAGCAGAGGAAGUAUCCAAGCUCAGAUCCUCGAUUGAAAAGCUUUCACUUGUCAAUAAUGAGAAUACUAAGAUGGUUAAACUCAUAGAGUCUGCUCUGAGAAACCUUGAAAUCAACAGCACUCAAUGAGGCAUUUGCAGGUCAAUUUAGCAUCGUUUUGCUGGCUCAUUGGUGGUCAAAUUGGACAAGUUCAAGCUUGCAAUCUACUCAGGGGAUGCUGUUUGCUUAGUAGCUAGAACCAUCUUUUUGCUACUGCUACCAUUGCUUCUGAUCUUACGAUCCUACGACUCGACAGUUCGAUCCUGUGAACCUCAAAAUGAUCCAAGGUGAGAUCCUGAUUUUGAGAACUUUGCUUUCAGAAGUUGCAUGAAAGUGGUCUGCGCCAGUUUUAGGCAGAUGAGCAAUUUUUGGUCUACGUUAUUGUAGUCAAAUAUGUCCGCACGUUUUUACGAGUGUUCUACAGCUGCCAUGAGAAAGUUUGUGUUACUGGACUCCUCCGAGGAUACUGAUGGUCUUUCAGUUUUCUUUAUGCCUUAUUAAGAUGCAAAAACCAGAGUGUCUCUCUGCCACAACCAUUGAACAUCAAUCUGCUAGAGAUGUUCCGCUUUGGAACUCAGGAAUGUUGAGCUUUCAGUUAAUGUCGUUUCCUGGGUGUAUUUGUUUCAUCGGUAAUGAAGUUGUGCCUCGGCUACUUCCCUCAUA